UGUGACAAGGACAGCUGUGAAAGUCCACACCGCUGAGGCUGACGUCCACUUCAGGAUGAAGUGUGGGCUCGUGCGCCAGCUGGCUGACCCACAAACCUUGUGAUCGCGAGAAGAGGAGGCAGUGGCCAGCGAAAUGUGUGCCAUACAGUAGUCGCCCAAUAAAUAGCUGGCUGCCUGCGUGAGCGAACGAGGGAGCCAGCGAGUGGCCUGGAGAGCCCAGGAAUGAGAAUGGGACGCGUGCAGGGAGAAGCUCCUGGCCCCGCUCCUGGGACAGCUAGUGUCCCCUCGGCCCCUCAGGGACAGCCUCGCACUCCCCCCAGACCCUGCACUUCAGAGGCUGCUGCAGCCCCACUGCCUGGAGCCUGCAUGUGAGUCACGUCCUGCGCGCAGUUCUUGGCCCACUACUAGGUCACUCCGGACACUUCCCAGGGGUGUCCAAUGGCAUCUCUGGGCCACACCAGAAGAAGAGUUGUCUUGGGCCAAACAUUAAAUACACAAACACUAGUGAAAACUGAUGAGCAAAAAGAAGGCUUUAAGUAAAUUUACAAUUUUGUGCUGAGCCACAAUCAUAGCCAUGCUGGGAUGCGUGCAGUCUGCAGGCCGCAGGUUGGACACCCCUGACAGACAGCAGGCUGGGGGCUCGACAGGCCCCGAACAGCACUGACUGAAAGAACAGAUGGCCUCGGCCAACAUGCUCCAGGGACUGGCACGCUGUGUCUCUGUGGCUUGUGCCUUCCUUCCUUCCUUCGGACAGCAGUUUUCCUUUCUCACUCACACUUCAUGGAGCCUCUGGGGGUGAUUCCGGGGCUGGUGAAUUUACCAUCCACAACGCCCAAUUCAGUAUUUGAUUAAGUUCCCUUUCCGAGACAGCUGGUUCUUUCUUCCGAAUGACGUGGUUGGGUUCAGGGACAUCAUUCAUUUCAUACCUGGGUACCUCCAGAGUUCGAAUAUUCCUAUUUCCUGAACCCAAAACAGAAACACACAGUCUAAAAAAUAAGAAAGGUCUCUUGGGAGCCGACAGUUCUGGGGCAGGUUUGGGACAAGUGUAAGCUUUGGUGGCCUGGUUGGGCAUGCCUCGGGAGUUCGGGCAGGGUGUCGGUCUCCUGAGCCGAGCGCCUAGUAGCGAUGAAUGAGUAAAUGAACGUGAAACGUGAAUGAGAGAUGACCUCGGGGAGUUUCUCGCGGCCGUGGCCGCUGAGGACGCGCCUCUGGCCUGUCGCCGAACCUGGCAGCCUCCCGGAUCCUGGGCUGC